rnacentral:rRNA from 1 species
AACCGAAAGGUCGAAAGGAGAAAUUCAAUCGCAUUUCGAUGUUGGCGUGGUACGGUUGUGUGACAGAGAACGUUUCGGCGUUUUUAGCGCCUUCCGUAUCAUUCGAUCCGGCAACGAAUGCGUGCACUUUUCUCCUGGUAGGACGUCGCAAUCCGUUGGGCGUCGGUCUAAGGUUCGCGGUGGAGCCCGGCUAUCGUUUAUCGAUGGACGAACCCGCGUUUUCCCGGCCGACUUGCUCGACGGUAUACGAAAGGUUAGAGGCCGCUGUAAUGGCGUUCGGCUCGUGGCAAGCGCGCCAGAUGCGUUGACAAUCGGACCUAGUGCCGGUUUUGACGCCUGGUGACUGUUGGUCGCGAAGUUCUCGAACAGACCUCUAGACCGAUUAGCGGCGCUAUAGCUUUGGGUACUUUCAGGACCCGUCUUGAAACACGGACCAAGGAGUCUAGCAUGUGCGCAAGUCAUUGGGAAUUAUUAAACCUAAAGGCGCAAUGAAAGUAAAGGUCUUCCUUGCGGAGAUCGAGGGAAGAUGAGCGAUCUUAAAUGAUCGCUUCGCAUUCCCGGGGCGUCUCGUUCUCAUUGCGAGAAGAGGCGCACCAAGAGCGUACACGCUGGGACCCGAAAGAUGGUGAACUAUGCCUGGUCAGGACGNANNNNGGGGAA